AGGCGGCGGGUUCGUUUCCUCCGCCCGCUCUGUGACAGACACGCCGGGAGGCGGGACCGAAGAGCAUCGCUGGAGAGAGGGAGGCAGCCGCCGGGAAGCGCCAGGCCGGUGGACAGGAUUGCUCCGGCGGUGAGAGUGAAAACACCAGUUCCUGGAACAGUAGAACUGAAGCCACGGAGCAACAAAUUCCAGCUCUCUCUCAAGGAUCAAUUCACCAUCUUUCAAGGGUGUUGAGGGGCCUUGGUGCAGUGUUUGAAUUCUUUUGGGAAAAAGCUGGCAUCCUAGCCAAUCUGCAUUGCUGCAGGGAAGUUUCUUGCCCGGGUGUGGCACCAGUAGUGGAGUAGAUGCACGUGGCUGGACAUCCCAAAUACAAAAUUACUUUAGCACUA